rnacentral:SRP_RNA from 2 species
AGCCGGGUCUCGUGCGGCGGGAGCUUGCGAACUCCGUCAGGUCCGGAAGGAAGCAGCGGUAAGCAAACACUCCCGGGUGCCACGAGGGCGCCUGACCCUG